rnacentral:rRNA from 1 species
UGGAUCCAGACUUUGAUUCUGGCUCAGGAUGAACGCUAGCUACAGGCUUAACACAUGCAAGUCGAGGGGAAACGACAUCGAAAGCUUGCUUUUGAUGGGCGUCGACCGGCGCACGGGUGAGUAACGCGUAUCCAACCUGCCCACCACUUGGGGAUAACCUUGCGAAAGUAAGACUAAUACCCAAUGAUAUCCCACGAAGGCAUCCGAAUGGGAUUAAAGAUUUAUCGGUGAUGGAUGGGGAUGCGUCUGAUUAGCUUGUUGGCGGGGUAACGGCCCACCAAGGCUACGAUCAGUAGGGGUUCUGAGAGGAAGGUCCCCCACAUUGGAGCUGAGACACGGUCCAAACUCCUACGGGAGGCAGCAGUGAGGAAUAUUGGUCAAUGGGCGAGAGCCUGAACCAGCCAAGUAGCGUGCAGGAUGACGGCCCUAUGGGUUGUAAACUGCUUUUAUAAGGGAAUAAAGUGAGUCUCGUGAGACUUUUUGCAUGUACCUUAUGAAUAAGGACCGGCUAAUUCCGUGCCAGCAGCCGCGGUAAUGCGGAAGGUCCGGGCGCUAUCCGGAUUUAUUGGGUUUAAAGGGAGCGUAGGCCGGAGAUUAAGCGUGUUGUGAAAUGUAGUGGCUCAACCUCUGCACUGCAGCGCGAACUGGUCUUCUUGAGUACGCACAACGUGGGCGGAAUUCGUGGUGUAGCGGUGAAAUGCUUAGAUAUCACGAAGAACUCCGAUUGCGAAGGCAGCUCACGGGAGCGCAACUGACGCUGAAGCUCGAAAGUGCGGGUAUCGAACAGGAUUAGAUACCCUGGUAGUCCGCACGGUAAACGAUGGAUGCCCGCUGUUGGCCUGAAUAGGUCAGCGGCCAAGCGAAAGCAUUAAGCAUCCCACCUGGGGAGUACGCCGGCAACGGUGCAACUCAAAUGAAUUGACGGA